GUCACCGCAUGAUCUGCUCUGGUUAAAUCCUUCUAAGCCAGCCAGGGUGGUGAUGAUCUGUGAC
rfam:Mesocricetus auratus contig150599, whole genome shotgun sequence.